GGUCGCAUAGCUCAGUUGGGAGAGCAUCUGCCUUACAAGCAGAGGGUCAUAGGUUCGAGUCCUAUUACGACCACCA
rnacentral:tRNA from 1 species